AAUGAGCAGGUCCCUACCACGAUGGACUACACCCUCUGGAACUUCAAGUCUUUAAGUCACAUUUUGUCACAGCAACAAGGACCACCUGCCCCGGGGGAGCACCACUCACACAAUGAUCUGGACUCUUCCACAUCAACCAUGAAUCAAGAAAGUGUGCCACAGAUAGACACGCCCACAGGGCAAUCUGAUGGAGGACUGAUCUGAAACUACUCCGCUACCUAGCCCACCAGAAGCGCCUGUGACAACCUGGGAGUGAACUAGUGGGUACCCUUGAACUGAAGCCCAGAACCAGGCCACCUGUUCAGGGAGCAGAGUCUACAGACAGAAGACAAGGUUCACCCUUCAAGUGACACCAUAGUCUCUGUGGGAUCAUCUCAUUUGCCAAGCCCACAAACUAACCUGGAAGAAAAAGGGGCAAAAGCAGGGGCAAGACCAAGGUCAAAGAGCAGCCACACAUCGGACAGGCAUGUCAAAGUCAGAGCCUGAUAUCCUUGUACCUUCCAGGGGAGUUGCAAAUGCUACCCAACAGAAAUGAAUACACUGAGAAAUUUCUAAAA